rnacentral:tRNA from 1 species
GUCCAUAUUGUCUAAUGGUAAAGACACCUAUAACUUGUUAUUGGCAGGGUGAUCUGAGUUCGAUCCUCAGUAUGGACA